rnacentral:rRNA from 1 species
UACGUAGGGUGCGAGCGUUGUCCGGAAUUAUUGGGCGUAAAGAGCGUGUAGGCGGUUCGGUAAGUCUGCCGUGAAAACCUGGGGCUCAACCCCGGGCGUGCGGUGGAUACUGCCGGGCUAGAGGGUGGUAGAGGCGAGUGGAAUUCCCGGUGUAGCGGUGAAAUGCGGAGAUAUCGGGAGGAACACCAGUAGCGAAGGCGGCUCGCUGGGCCAUUCCUGACGCUGAGACGCGAAAGCUAGGGGAGCGAACAGG